UUUUUUGAGAGUUUGAUCCUGGCUCAGGAUGAACGCUGGCGGCGUGGAUAAGGCAUGCAAGUCGAGUGGGUUUAGGCCCACGGCAAACGGGUUAGUAAUGCAUAGGAACGUACCCUGAAGUCGUGAAUAACUUGGAGAAAUCCAAGAUAAUACACGAUAAUCUCUACGGAGUAAAGAUUUAUCGCUUCAGGAGCGGCCUGUGUCCUAUCAGCUUGUUGGUAGUGUAAAGGACUACCAAGGCUAUGACGGGUAGGGGGCGUGAGAGCGUGACCCCCAACAUUGGGACUGAGACACUGCCCAAACACCUACGGGUGGCUGCAGUCGAGAAUAUUCCACAAUGGGCGAAAGCCUGAUGGAGCGACGCCGCGUGAAGGAUGAAGGCCCUUGGGUCGUAAACUUCUUUUCUAUGGGAAAAAUGUAAUGAUGGUACCAUAGGAAUAAGAGGUUGCUAACUCUGUGCCAGCAGCAGCGGUAAUACAGAGACCUCAAGCGUUAUCCGGAUUUAUUGGGCGUAAAGCGCGUGUAGGCGGCUUUGUUAGUCAGACGUCAAAUCUCCGAGCUUAACUCGGAAACUGCGUUUGAAACGGCAAAGCUAGAGGGAGCAAGAGACCAGUAGAACGUAUGGUGUAGCAGUGAAAUGCGUUGAUAUCAUACGGAAUACCAAAGGCGAAGGCAUCUGGUUGGGGCUCGCCUGACGCUGAGACGCGAAAGUGUGGGUAGCGAAUGGGAUUAGAUACCCCAGUAGUCCACACCCUAAACGAUGCAGACUAGGUAUCGGGAGAAUCGACCCUCUCGGUGUCGUAGCUAACGCGUUAAGUCUGCCGCCUGGGAAGUACGAGCGCAAGCUUAAAACUCAAAGGAAUAGACGGGGAUCCGCACAAGUGGUGGAGCAUGUGGUUUAAUUCGACGACAAGCGAGGAACCUCACCAGGGCUUGAAACUAUGCUGCAUUGUACAGAAAUGUACAAGCCUUCGAGGGUGCAUAGCAGGCGUUGCACGGUCGUCGUCAGCUCGUGCCGUAAGGUGUUCUGUUAAGUCAGGAAACGAGCGCAACCCCUAUCGUGUGUUACAGUGUCACACGAGACUGCCCAGAACAAAACGCACUUCGUGCUCAAUUCUCAAUUUUCAAUUCUCAAUUUUCAAACAAUUUUCAAUGAAUUAAUUUUCAAUUUAGAAAUUUAAUCAUUGAGAAAUUAGACAUUGUUUAGAAAUUAGAAAUUGAAAAUUAGAAAUUGAGCGCUUAGCAAAGCGCGUUUCGUUCUGGGAGGAAGGCGGGGAUGACGUCAGAUCAGCGUGGCCCUUUGACGCCCUGGGCUACACACGUGCUACAAUGGCCGGUACAAAGGGUUGCCAAGUCGCAAGACGGAGCUAAUCCCAAAAAACCGGUCUCAGUUCGGAUUGAGGUCUGCAACUCGACCUCAUGAAGCUGGAAUCACUAGUAAUCGCGCAUCAGCCAUGGCGCGGUGAAUACGUUCUCGGAUCUUGUACUCACAAUAAAAGCGCCGGGCAGUUUAAAUUUCCAAGAAGUUAGAAUCUUCUCCUCU
rnacentral:rRNA from 1 species